GGGGGUGUGUGUAUAAAUGCGCUGUGUUCCUGACAGGGUUUUUUAAUGGUGUUGCAGUUGCCUGAAGUGAUGUCAGGGGCUAACACCAGCUACUACCAGGAGGCGGCGGAGCUGGCGGUGGGCUACCGCUGCUCCUGCCGGCACAGCAUGGGCGGGCCGCAGUGCAGCAUUGUCACGGUAGUGGUGGGCAGCGUGGCGCGACCAAGCACCGAGGCGGAGGCCAUGUCGGCGGGUCAGGUGGUGCUGGUGGUGGUGUUCAGCACCGCUAUGCCCGUGCUAGUGGUGGAAUUGGUGUUGGUGAUUGUGUGCAUGAAGCGGAAACGCGUACGUGACUGCCCGUGUCGGGAUGAGGAGGCGCGGCGUCAGAACGAGCAGAACAUGGUGCACAACGCUGUGGGCGCCGUCAACAGUGUCUGGACCACCACAUGAUCUACUCCCUAAACUUCCCCAUCAAGAAACCUCUCAAAACCGUGCCACCGCCUCCUCCCCUUGCAUCACCCACACCACACCCACCUCCACCACCAUCACCUCCACGACCACGACUACAAGAAUCCCGCGGAGAACGCAUACUCCGCAGUGCCCAUGCGCAGCAGCAGGACUCAACAAGGAUGUGUCGCGGCUCUCGCUGGCUGACCGCCUCGAGAAGGACAUUGAGCCCCCGCCCAGCGCCUGCGUCACGCCCACCUCGGACUCCAGCGCCCCAUGCAAGGUGUUCCGGAAUUCCUUCCUGCCGCGCACAUACAGCCACAGGCCGAAAUCAAGCGACCGCCGGCAGAGAGGAGUCUUCUCCUGGACGUUUGAAGAGUACCACCUUCUUGAAGCACAGAGCACAGACAGCGCUGGAAACUGGACUACUACAGUUUGAGCAGAGUCCAACAUCUGUGUAUCUGCACCAGAAUCAAGUGUCCAGGGAGGAAAUGAUACGUCUGCAGAGAUGUGCCAGGAGGAGGGACUCUUGGAACAGGCCUUCACACAACAGGGAUUGGGGUGGGGGUGGGGGGACCUUAUAGCAGCAGGUGACUAGGAGAGAGGUUCCCCACAAGAUGCAACACACCACAUCCUCCAAACGCAAAAUAUAUUUGCCAAUAAAGAAGUGUCAAGUGAGCCAGCCUCCACCACAGACGAUGUGGCGGAGCAUCGCGCCUGGUGUGAACCUCCCCAUAGCAAGCUAAGUCUGCGCGACGUUGGUACGUGGUGUGCGUCGUCUCCGGUGUGAGACGGCCUUAACGAGUCUGAGCAGCUUCCCUUGUGAAGAUAUAAGCCACAAUUCUAUUUUUGCAAUGUAUGAAGGUGUCACAUGAUAACGUGUAGUGUCAGUGUGUCAUGUGUGGAGGAAUGCACAGCUCUUCACACAGCCUGACCACUCAGCGGUAAAUAAAGUCAAUAAUCUGG
rnacentral:misc_RNA from 1 species